rnacentral:rRNA from 1 species
UACGUAGGGACCGAGCGUUGUCCGGAAUCAUUGGGCGUAAAGAGCGUGUAGGCGGCUAUUUAAGUCCUGCGUGAAAUCCUGCGGCUCAACCGCAGACGGUCGUGGGAAACUGGAUGGCUAGAGUGCGGGAGAGGAGAGUGGAAUUCCCGGUGUAGCGGUGAAAUGCGCAGAUAUCGGGAAGAACACCCGUGGCGAAGGCGGCUCACUGGCUCAUUACUGACGCUCAGGCGCGAUAGCGUGGGGAUCAAACAGG